AUCACUGUGUUUGUAAAAAAUCCAUGAUAUACCACAAACAUAAACAGCACAUAUUAACAUCGUUCUUAUCUUUAAGGCCCACCAAAAUGCUGUUUCUGCUACAAGGCCUCUACCUGACAGGCAAAGUGGGACCAUUAGCCCUCAUUGUUUUCUGUAGUGUAUGGCCAACUUUUGAAAGAGCCAGAAAACAGCAGUGGCACCACUAUGGAACCAUGUGUUGAGUUUCUUCUUUCUUCACUGUGACUACAUGACUGAAAUAAAGCAGUUUUUCUUCAGCUCUUGGAUCUGCUGUUCUUCUGAUAAAUACAUGUUCACCAGGAUGUAACCAGUAGUCCUCCAUCCUUAAAGAACCGUAGGCAUCAGCGUGUUCUGACUCCAGCGUGAGAGAUGGGACAAGUAGUUUUAAGAAAGUAAAUUCCUGACUCUUCUGAUUAGCAGGAUACAUGAAGAUCCCACCAUACAUCAAUGUACGGUGAACAUCAGCAACCAUGGAGCCCACGUACCUGGCACCAUAUGGGGAACUGCCAUCCUGAAAGACAUACAAAUGGAGCAUUACAUCUACCAGGCUAGACAAUUGUUAGCACAGGAAAAUGUCAUUUUGUUAUAAGCCAGGUAUCUAAGCUUCUUAAAUCAAUUGUUGCGUAUGGACACUGUAAAUGCCUAAACCAGCCUUACUUUUGUAAGACUUAGUGAUCAUCAUGAGGUUCUAAAAUAAGGGCUUUAAAGAGAAACACUCAAAAUGUGGAAACCACUUUGCCUGCAAUUUGAGUGCACAACAAUAUUGUAUCAACUGCUCACCUGUGAAAAGGCAAGUAGUGAAAAAGUGAGUGAAAUCUUCUUCCUGUUAUCAGAACAAAGUACCCAUUUGAUUUGUGAUCCUCCACAGGUCCCUAAGCUGGGGCACAUGGAAGGAUAUCACUUUUCACUACACAUCCAGGCAGUUCACAGAGGACUCUCAGAUUUUUCCCUCUGGCUUGUUUUCAAGUUUUGAAGCUGGUUGUAGCAUUCAUUCUGGAGUUUAGUUUGGGAGAUAAUAAGAAUUUAAUCAUGUAGUUGCUCUCAGAUUAGAAGCUCAUAUUGCUAAAGGAGAGGUCAUUUUGGUGAGAGCAAUUAGGGAAGUUUAUUAGGCAACCAGUUUCAGGUUUGCUAGUGAUAAAAAUGGUAAGACAGAAGAUAGAGAAAAAAAAAACAAAACACACACACACAAAAAAAAACACACACACACAAAAAACAACUGGUGACUUGCACAAAUAGAAGUAAUAUACACCAAAUUAGCUCCACCAUGAGAAAAGAGAUGCAUCACUGUACUUUUAAGAAGGGGAGAUACACAAUACAGAUGUAAACUGAAGGAAAGCUUUCUGAGAGCUAAUAUGCCAAGAUGCCUGGUGGUCUUCUGAUAUCUCUCACUCUGUCUUCAAUAAAGCAGGAGUGGAAUUUUGGUUUCCCCUAGAAAUUGACAAAGACUAAGGCUUCAUGCAAAUUUAAUGUGCAUACAUAUUUGUGUAUUGCAAUGCUAAAAGUUUGAAAAGACUUCUGCAUGUUUUUGCAAGUGUUUUUUUUUUGUUUAUUUGUUUUUUGUCUGGCUAAAUCCAUUGUCUAAUAAAAUAUCU